UACGUAGGGGCAAGCGUUGUCCGGAUUUAUUGGGCGUAAAGAACGUGUAGGCGGCCAUACAGGUCAGCUGUGAAAACUCGAGGCUCAACCUCGAGACGUCGGUUGAAACCGUAUGGCUAGAGUCCGGAAGAGGAGAGUGGAAUUCCCGGUGUAGCGGUGAAAUGCGCAGAUAUCGGGAAGAACACCUAUGGCGAAGGCAGCUCUCGUGGGACGGUACUGACGCUGAGACGCGAAAGCGUGGGGAGCGAACAGG
rnacentral:rRNA from 1 species